UUUGUUUGUACAAUGUUAUAACUGGCUAUUGUAAUCAUGCUGUGUAACUGCAUCAUUUGUACACGUUUGUGUUGAUGAUAAUUACAAAUCAUUGUAAUUUAAUAAUGUAAUUAAAUAAUUAAUUGCAGUUGUGAAGGAAUUAAGAAAUCCCACCUGGUUGAAGUGAGGGCUCUGAACAACCCCAUCAGGUCAUCAAGAUGGCACUGGAAAGCAUCUGCAUGCUUAUUGGAGAACCUUACACUGACUGGAAGAGUAUCAGACAGAUUGUAAUGAAGGAGAACUUUAUAUCACUCUAGUAAAGCUUGUGGGCCUUUGGUGAAGUGGGCCAUUGCUCAGGACGUUGAGAGCUACGACCCAAUCCGGAACCCUGUCCUAUCCUAGACGACAACAGAAUCAUUACUGAGCUUGAGACUCUUAAGGAAGAGGCUGCAGAAGUUCAGAGGAAGAUGGAGGAGACUGAUACUGUAAUGGCUGAAGUUGACAGAGUCUCCCAGCAAUACCUGCCUCUCUGCACCUCCUGCUCUGCCAUGUACUUCACUCUGGAGUCACUCAAUCAGGUUGUGGACCUGAGGCUGAACUCAUCAUCUCAAGGACUGAUCUCUCAUUCAUAUACUGAAGAUCUAUAGACUGGGUUUAGGAACUAAGGACUGUAACACUAUAAGACUGGUUUAAUUAAUUAAAAUCAUUGUUGACUUGUACUCUACAUGUAUGACUGAA
rnacentral:lncRNA from 1 species